rnacentral:rRNA from 1 species
AACGCUAGCUACAGGCUUUACACAUGCAAGUCGAGGGGUAACGAAAGGGAAGCUUGCUUUCCUUGUCGACGACCGGCGCACGGGUGAGUAACGCGUAUCCAACCUGCCCACCACUUGGGGAUAACCUUGCGAAAGUAAGACUAAUACCCAAUGAUAUCUCUAGAAGACAUCUGAAGGAGAUUAAAGAUUUAUCGGUGAUGGAUGGGGAUGCGUCUGAUUAGCUUGUUGGCGGGGUAACGGCCCACCAAGGCUACGAUCAGUAGGGGUUCUGAGAGGAAGGUCCCCCACAUUGGAACUGAGACACGGUCCAAACUCCUACGGGAGGCAGCAGUGAGGAAUAUUGGUCAAUGGGCGAGAGCCUGAACCAGCCAAGUAGCGUGCAGGAUGACGGCCCUAUGGGUUGUAAACUGCUUUUAUAAGGGAAUAAAGUGAGCCUCGUGAGGCUUUUUGCAUGUACCUUAUGAAUAAGGACCGGCUAAUUCCGUGCCAGCAGCCGCGGUAAUACGGAAGGUCCGGGCGUUAUCCGGAUUUAUUGGGUUUAAAGGGAGCGUAGGCCGGAGAUUAAGCGUGUUGUGAAAUGUAGAUGCUCAACAUCUGCACUGCAGCGCGAACUGGUUUCCUUGAGUACGCACAAAGUGGGCGGAAUUCGUGGUGUAGCGGUGAAAUGCUUAGAUAUCACGAAGAACUCCGAUUG